AAUGGCUAGUAUCUUCCUAUUGCAUUUUGAUCAUGAAUGCAUGUUUACCUAUCAGUUUUUGAUGGCUUGUGAUUUGCUUGUUUACUUCCUAAAGCAUUGAUAUUAAUUUUGCACGCCAUCCCUUUUGUCAACAGAUAUUGUUCUUCUCGUGACAACAUGACCAUCGAUCAAGUUUUGCCGGUUUCACGAGGCGGUGAAUGGAAUUGGGAAAAUCUGGUUACGGCUUGUGCAAAAUGCAAUUCAAGAAAAAGGGUAGAAGACUCUGGAGGAAGCAAAAAUGAAGCUGUUUAAGGUCCCAAGGGCCCCAAAAGACUUCGACAUACUGGCAAUACCCCUGACAACAACAGCACUACGGAUGCUUAAGAUGAGAAGAGGGAUG